AGAGGUAGGAAGAAGUAGCCUCAUUUUAUGGUCAGGAUCCUUGGGGCUCAGAUGCGUUAAGUAAUUGGUCAAAAUCUUGCACAAAUCCUGCAAGUACAGAGGUAGAAAAUGAAUCCAGGUCUUUGAUUCCCAAACGUAAGCUCUUUCGCUGUGUCACUUCUCCUCUUCGUUUUCAUGCCAGUUCCAAGAAUUAACACUGCAGUUAGCUUUCUGUUUCCUUUCCCAAGAUGUACUAUGUAACAAUGACCAGGUAUCAAAAGAAAACCAAUUUCAGGCUGGGCGUGCUGGCUCAUGCCUGUAAUCCUAGCACUUUGGGAGACCGAGGCGGGUGGAUAACGAGGUCAGGAGAUAGAGACCAGCCUGGCCAACAUGGCAAAACCCUGUCUCUGUUAAAAAUACAAAAAUUAGGCUGGGCGUGGUGGCUCACGCCUAUAAUCCCAGCACUUUGGGGGGCCGAGGUGGGCAGAUCACGAGGUCAGGAGAUCGAGACCAUCCUGGCUAACACGGUGAAACCCCAUCUCUACUAAAGAUACAAAAAAUUAGCUGGAGUCCCGGCUACUUGGGAGGCUGAGGCAGGAGAAUGGCAUGAACCCAGGAGGUGGAGCUUGCAGUGAGCCGAGAUCGAGCCACUGCACUCCAGCCU
rnacentral:lncRNA from 1 species